CCAAAUCAACCUACAAUCCAAACUGUUGACAUGUAGGACUUGAAAUACAACAAACCCAUUCAAACCCACGUGGUACCUGCUAUUUUGGUUGUUGCAUCUUGUCUUCAUCCUCCGGCAGCAAUCUUUCCUUUCUCCUUUCAAGGCAUCUUCCUUCCUGUGCGACAGCGACAAAGAAAUCUUUCUACGUCUGAGCCGGUUGAAUUUGGUACAUCGGCAAGGUUUUUGUCAGAUUCGCCAUCUACUUCCGACGUCUCGGCCAUUGAUUUGGGUCCAAUCUGGCGUCGUACUGACCGACGAACGGAUCUUGAUCAGGAAUCCAGUCCACUCAACAGAGGACGGUCGCAAAACGAAAGUGAGUGGCAAUGGAUGAAAGAAGGAAGCGCGGCGGUCAUGAGAGAAAAAGGAGAAGCAGUUUUGGAAGAAUUUUAGAAAUGGGAACUCUGAAGGGUUUUGAUCAGUUCAUUAUUUAGGUAUAAUUACUCAUUUUUCCUUUUAAUUUUUAUCAUUAGAUUUUAAUAUCUAGAUCUGAUGGAUAAAUUGGGUAUUGUCAUAUGACAACAUAUAACUCUGUUGUCAUAAUAGGAUAUCUGUCUUUGAUGGCUUCCCUCGAUUUGUGAUUAGUUCUCACUUGGUCCUUCAUAAACCUACUGCUUUGUCAAUAUAUGACAAUUACUAAUCUUGACAAUAUAUAUUUCGGACACGAACGAAAAGAGAGGGAGAAAAUGGAAACUUCAUUUGUUGGCUCUCGUCAGAGGUAUGCAUGGAGAAGAGAGAUUCAUGUUCAAAUGCUUAUGAUCAUUGCUAUUCACCAAGCUACUGGUGGCUUUCAAUUUACUGAUUUUAUUAUUUGACUUAGCGGUUUGUAGUUUUGUUGUUUAAAUCGCACCAAAUUUGCAAAAUGAUGCAGUGCGGUUUAACUACAUUGAUAAUUUAAACGGUAUGAUUGUGAUGCGAUCAUAAAUUCAUUCACGGUGCAGUGCGGUUCUAUCUGCACCAUGCCUAUCCCUAGUUAGUGCCCUGUAGUUGUACAAAGUAAUAAAUCCACUUCCACUUUCCUUAUGAUUAAAAAGAGCUACAUUUGUUAAUUUACUAUAUACAAUUUGUGAAUUUGUUAAUAACAAUGAUUUGAUGCUACUGAUAAGGACUUGAAGUGUAUGAUUGAGAAUGGAGAUUUGAGUGUGUUUUGUUGUUCCUUUUUUAAUAUCAUUUUCAGAGGAAAUAUUGCUUAUCUUCAAAUCCAUCAUCAAUAUCAUCAUGACUUACCCGUAAAUCAACCCUUCAGCGACAAAAAUGCCCCAAUCCACACAAAUCCAGUUCAAAUCGUGCAUGCAAAGGAUUUCUUCCC
rnacentral:lncRNA from 1 species